rnacentral:lncRNA from 1 species
UACAUACAUCACAGUUUAAAGACUAUCUCCAGUAUGGGAUUUUUAAUAUACAAAUCUAUGAGUCAUCAUUUCAAAUAAUUUAGCCCAUGAUUAAACACUUGAAUUAUAUGUUUUCAUGUGUCUGUCAGUUUCCAUUAUUAUAAAACCCUAUACUCAAUACAUCACAUAUACUAUGAGGUUUAAUAAUUAUUUCCAGUAUGUGUUCUCAUGUGUCACAGUGUGUCUUUAAUGCAUUUCUUCUGACUGUUGUUUUUUUCUAUGUACAGUGAAACCUGGCUAAACCGAAUCCUGCUUAAACCGAAAACCUGUAUAAACCAAACAUUUUCUAAAGCACCGUCAUAUCAAAUUGUAUGCGCUGUGAACCUGAUAAAACCUAACCUCAGCCAAAACCGAACAUAAUCUUAAGUCCCGAGAGGUUUGGUUUAAACAGGUUUCACUGUACAUGUACAUCAUAUUUAUUAUGUUUGUCACAAUUAUGUGUUCUCUGUUUGUCACAAGUAUGUGUUCUCUGUAAGACUUAAACAGAUUUUCUUCCAAUAUGUUAUUUGGCACAAAAAUUAGAUUUGCCUUGAUUUGACUUGAAUGUGUUAUCAUGUGUCUAUGUUAACCAGGUGCUCCGCAGGGCGCAGCUUUAUUCGACCCCAGUGGUCGAACCCUGAACAGUUGGGGCAAAUUUGGUCACAAUAUUCAAGCUUGAUACUGUCUGAAUUUUGAUUGUGAUCAAAUUUUGACAUAAUAUAGGUUUUUGCCACAAAAUUAAUGUGGUUCAAGAUUUAACACAUCUAUUGCACAAUACUAUGCAAUUGAAUAUUUCUUAUUGAAACUUUUCAAAAUUUG